AGAGUUUGAUCCUGGCUCAGAUUGAACGCUGGCGGUAUGCCUUACACAUGCAAGUCGAACGGUAGAGGAGCAAUCCUCGAGAGUGGUGAACGGGUGAGUAAUACAUCGGAACGUGCCCAGUCGUGGGGGAUAACGUAGCGAAAGCUACGCUAAUACCGCAUACGACCCGAGGGUGAAAGCGGGGGACUCGCAAGAGCCUCGCGCGAUUGGAGCGGCCGAUGGCAGAUUAGAUAGUUGGUGGGGUAAAGGCCCACCAAGCCUGCGAUCUGUAGCUGGUCUGAGAGGACGACCAGCCACACUGAGACUGAGACACGGCCCAGACUCCUACGGGAGGCAGCAGUGGGGAAUUUUGGACAAUGGGCGAAAGCCUGAUCCAGCCAUACCGCGUGCGGGAAGAAGGCCUUCGGGUUGUAAACCGCUUUUGUCAGGGAAGAAAUACUUCGGGCUAAUACCCUGGGGUGAUGACGGUACCUGAAGAAUAAGCACCGGCUAACUACGUGCCAGCAGCCGCGGUAAUACGUAGGGUGCAAGCGUUAAUCGGAAUUACUGGGCGUAAAGCGUGCGCAGGCGGUUCUAUAAGACAGAUGUGAAAUCCCCGGGCUCAACCUGGGAACUGCAUUUGUGACUGUAGAGCUAGAGUACGGUA
rnacentral:rRNA from 1 species